AUUGACCUCGGAUCAGGUAGGGAUACCCGCUGAACUUAAGCAUAUCAAUAAGCGGAGGAAAAGAAACCAACAGGGAUUGCCUCAGUAACGGCGAGUGAAGCGGCAACAGCUCAAAUUUGAAAUCUGGCCCCGUCGGGGUCCGAGUUGUAAUUUGUAGAGAGUGUUUCGGGUGAGACCACGGUCUAAGUUCAUUGGAACAUGGCGUCAUAGAGGGUGAGAAUCCCGUAUGUGACUGUGGCUCGAGCCCAUGUGAAGCCUCUUCGACGAGUCGAGUUGUUUGGGAAUGCAGCUCAAAAUGGGUGGUAAAUUUCAUCUAAAGCUAAAUACUGGCUGGAGACCGAUAGCGCACAAGUAGAGUGAUCGAAAGAUGAAAAGCACUUUGGAAAGAGAGUCAAACAGUACGUGAAAUUGUUGAAAGGGAAGCGCUUGCAACCAGACCUGUCCGUAGGUGAUCAGCCGCUGUUCUCAGCGGUGCACUCGCUCUGCGAUCAGGCCAGCAUCGGUUUCGGCGGUUGGAUAAAGGCCUUGGGAAUGUAGCUCCCUUCGGGGAGUCUUAUAGCCCUCGGUGCAAUGCGGCCAGCCGGGACCGAGGACCGCGCUUCGGCUAGGAUGCUGGCGUAAUGGUUGUAAGCGACCCGUCUUGAAACACGGACCAAGGAGUCUAACAUCUAUGCGAGUGUUUGGGUGUUAAACCCAUGCGCGGAAUGAAAGUGAACGGAGGUGAGAACCCUUUAGGGCGCAUCAUCGACCGAUCCAGAUGUCUUCGGAUGGAUUUGAGUAUGAGCAUAGCUGUUGGGACCCGAAAGAUGGUGAACUAUGCCUGAAUAGGGUGAAGCCAGAGGAAACUCUGGUGGAGGCUCGCAGCGGUUCUGACGUGCAAAUCGAUCGUCAAAUUUGGGUAUA
rnacentral:rRNA from 1 species